rnacentral:antisense_RNA from 1 species
CUUCAGCGAGCCGAGCAGCAGCGGCCGGUCGGCGGGACGGUCCUGGCCGUAGGUGGCGAGGAUGGCCUGCGCCUC